CCUACGGGACGCACCAGUGGGGAAUAUUGCACAAAGGGCGCAAGCCUGAUGCAGCCAUGCCGCGUGUAUGAAGAAGGCCUUAGGGUUGUAAAGUACUUUCAGUUGGGAGGAAGGCGUUGAUGCUAAUAUCAUCAGCGAUUGACGUUACCAACAGAAGAAGCACCGGCUAACUCCGUGCCAGCAGCCGCGGUAAUACGGAGGGUGCAAGCGUUAAUCGGAAUUACUGGGCGUAAAGCGCACGCAGGCGGUUGAUUAAGUUAGAUGUGAAAUCCCCGGGCUUAACCUGGGAAUGGCAUCUAAGACUGGUCAGCUAGAGUCUUGUAGAGGGGGGUAGAAUUCCAUGUGUAGCGGUGAAAUGCGUAGAGAUGUGGAGGAAUACCGGUGGCGAGGGCAGCCCCCUGGACAAAGACUGACGCUCAGGUGCGAAAGCGCGGGGAGCAAGCAGGAUUAGAUACCCCGGUAGUC
rnacentral:rRNA from 1 species